rnacentral:rRNA from 1 species
UACGUAGGUGGCAAGCGUUGUCCGGAUUUACUGGGCGUAAAGGAUGCGUAGGCGGAUGUUUAAGUGAGAUGUGAAAUACCCGAGCUCAACUUGGGUGCUGCAUUUCAAACUGGAUAUCUAGAGUGCAGGAGAGGAAAGCGGAAUUCCUAGUGUAGCGGUGAAAUGCGUAGAUAUCGGGAGGAACACCAGUGGCGAAGGCGAUCACCUGGGGUUGUUCUGACGCUGAGGAGCGAAAGCUAGGGGAGCAAACGGG